UACGUAGGGUGCAAGCGUUAAUCGGAAUUACUGGGCGUAAAGCGUGCGCAGGCGGCUUUGCAAGUCAGAUGUGAAAGCCCCGGGCUCAACCUGGGAAUUGCAUUUGAGACUGCGUAGCUAGGGUGCGGAAGAGGGAAGCGGAAUUUCCGGUGUAGCGGUGAAAUGCGUAGAUAUCGGAAGGAACACCAGUGGCGAAAGCGGCUUCCUGGUCCAGCACCGACGUUCAGGCACGAAAGCGUGGGGAGCAAACAGG
rnacentral:rRNA from 1 species